CAGCUCAGCUCAGCUCCUCACCUCCAAGGUUUCCCUCCACAGUGUGUGUGAGAGGGAACUUUGUGUCACAGCAUCCCUAGUCUGAAAGGAGACAUCUGUCGUAACAUUCUUGGAAGGCAGGCCAUUUCACUGGCCUUCAGCUCCUGUUUCCCCACUUCCUGGCUGUGAAUUGAGCUUUUGCUCCAGCUUUCUGACCACAAGCUACUUGAAGAACUGCUUCAUGGAAAUUCCUGAAACAUCCUUGUCACCAGAACAAAGCAACAUAAUCAAGACCACGGGUUAGCCUUGAACACUUGAAAGCAAGGCUGUGUGUAACACAGGAUGGAGAACUGCCUCAGAGAGAGACAGUUCUAGAGUGACUCUGCUCCUGGCACCUCCACACGCAAGAUAGACAGACAGCUGCUUAAAUAGCCCCAAUACCUCAAAGAUAUGUCAGCCAGGAUCUUGUUUAUGAUGUUAUAAGACAGAAAUAUAUUAGGAGCCGUGAG